rnacentral:rRNA from 1 species
UACAGAGGUCUCAAGCGUUGUUCGGAUUCAUUGGGCGUAAAGGGUGCGUAGGCGGCGGGGCAAGUCUGAUGUGAAAUCCCGGGGCUCAACCCCCGGAACUGCAUUGGAUACUGCUCUGCUUGAGCACUGGAGAGGAGACUGGAAUUUACGGUGUAGCAGUGAAAUGCGUAGAGAUCGUAAGGAAGACCAGUGGCGAAGGCGAGUCUCUGGACAGUUGCUGACGCUGAGGCACGAAGGCCAGGGGAGCAAACGGG